rnacentral:rRNA from 1 species
CCUACGGGAUGCAGCAGUGGGAAUAUUGGGCAAUGGGCGCAAGCCUGACCCAGCAACGCCGCGUGAAGGAAGAAGUCUUUCGGGUUGUAAACUUCUUUUAUCUGAGACGAUACAAGUGACGGUACCUGAUGAAUAAGCCACGGCUAACUACGUGCCAGCAGCCGCGGUAAUACGUAGGUGGCAAGCGUUAUCCGGAUUUACUGGGUGUAAAGGGAGUGUAGGCGGGAGUGCAAGUCAGUUGUGAAAACUAUGGGCUCAACCCAUAGACUGCAUUUGAUACUGUAAUUGUUGAGUGCUGUAGAGGUAAUCGGAAUUCGGUGUGUAGCGGUGAAAUGCGUAGAUAUAAGGAGGAACACCAGUGGCGAAGGCGGAUUGCUGGACAGUAACUGACGCUGAGGCGCGAAAGCGUGGGGAGCAAACAGGAUUAGAUACCCUUGUAGUC